UUGGCAAGUAGAAGGUCCUGAGUUCGAUUCCCAGCACCAAAAAAUAAAUAAAUAAAAAUAGAAUGGUUAAUGGUAUGGGUGAACAUUCGUGAUACCAAACUGUUUCAAACAACCAGGAUAUACAAAUGUAUAAGUAUUCCUAAUUUCAUUAAAAUGUCUUAUAUGCAUUUAAAAAAGAAUGGAAGGAAAUCUACCAAAAUGUAACAGUGGUUCUGCGGGUAGGAAGAUUACAGGUCACUUAAAUGGCUAUUUUUUUUUUUUUUUUUUUAUUUCUCUGGUGAGAAAUGGCUAUUUUUUUAUUUAAACCAGAGACUAUUUUUGAACAAUGAUACUUUAACAAUCCUCAGUUCUAGGCCAACCCCCGACCCCAGGCACCUUUUCUUCUCUGCAGAACCCAGGAGUUUGAGAGAGAGAAGGGGCCAGGUCGAGAGCCCUAUUGCUAACACACCCCACUCCUUGCAGAAACAGGAGAUCCUCUGGACUAGAGUCACACAAUUCACACUGAACACUUCGGGGACAGUGGAAUCCCAAGAGGGUGCUUUUAAUCCCGGGUGGGAUGGCAGGAGGUGUGACACACUCCAACUUUUAACGUGGUGACAGCCUUCUUGACACCAGCAAGGAACAUCUGCCUCUAGGUGAGUGGGGCUCCAUGGCACAAGGCUGGUGUGGAGCAGAGUGAAGAAAUCUAAUUAAUGAGUUCACUCUGCACACCACAGCUCCCGCAGACCGACAGCCAGGUCACUGGUGCAGGACAUGGUGGCAGAAUGUUAAUAAAUAUUGAUCACACAUUCUCAGAGGCUCCCCAGCACCAUGGCAGGAGGCAGCCGUAGUACUUACCCUUGUUAAGUUUACUAUUUAACCAGUUUAGGCUGAAAUCCAGCUUACCAGUCUGUGUACCCAGAGAUCUCAAGUGAAAUAGUAAUGAGCAAAGGAGCAUAUAAAUGAGAACUUUUCAGGUUCCCAGUACGCUGAACGAAUCCAAAAAGAUACUUUCCUAAUUCAGCUCACCCUACACCAUCAGGACCUGCCUGCAGAGUCCUCGGCUAUCCAGAGGGUGAGUGGCAGGCAGCCUUCCCUGCUCCCAGGGCCCAAGAACCCAGCCAGUCCUCACUAACCUCCAGACCCCUCCCCCAGCAGGCAACUAGCCUGGCAGUAAGCGAAAUGUGUUAAUUUAAAACCCACAAGUACACAGCGUGACCAAGACUCCUGCUGCUCCAAUCUGCCGGAGAGUUUAUGAACAGCAGGAGACAGACAACUGGAGCUCAGGGAAGCACUGUCUCCUCACCUGGGCUCUGGCAGCACUGCUCCCGCAGCCUCUAGUCUGGGCCAAAGAGCAACAGUGCAGCACAGGAGAGCCGGCCACAAGGUUACAGAACCAGAACGGGGGCCAUGUUCGCAGUGAAGGGUGCCAUCAGAAAGGCACGAGUGGCUCAGUUCCCUCACAGCCACAGAAGAGUGACCAGCUGCCAUGGAUCAUUGAUAAGUACGCCUAAACCUAGGAAAUGCCUUCCUGAAUUAAAGCAGAAAAGAAGGUACGUACACAUACAGGACAACUGAGAACUAGUGCCAGGUACUUUUGGGAAAGGAAGUCUCCUAAAGGAGUUGCCAGGGCAGUGUCCACCCCUGCCUGUUUGGGAACACUGCAAAGACAAGGGCUCUCUUCUGUUCUCUAGCAGAUCCACAGGUUGUCAGGAGCUGCAAUUUCAUCCCUGGCAGGUGUCAGCAGCACAGCUAGAGAGCUCUGGCCCCAGAAGGCCUGACUACCCUACACUGCAGAGGCCUGGUCAACAUUUCCACAGGAUGAAGUCAGAACAAACAGCUCCACAGAUCACCAGACAGGCUGGGAAAGACUCACAGAGCUUCUUAUCAUUAAGAUGGCUUCCAGAAACAAACAGCCCGCUGGGAGGGCAUACACUUUCAUUUCUCUCUAUGCCAGUGGACUUUGAGGAACCACUUGUAACAAGUGCCAUAAACAGCUUCAGAUACAUGCCCAGCCACAGAGACUGGCUGAAAACAGCAACUGCAAGGAUGAGGUGAGAGAACCAAGAACGUCCUCUGGAUCUGGGCAGCAGAGACUAUUUUGGGCUCGGCUACCAUCGACCUCAGAGCUGCUAUCAUCCUUGUGUCUGUCGCUGCUGUGCAAGGGCGUGGAGGUUCCUGGAGCACAUGGAAGGGAAUAAGGAGCUGCUUUCUGGGAGGGGUCAGACCCUCAGUGUUCCACAUGACCUCUCCAGGACUAUGACCCACUACCGCAGGAUCAAAGUCUGCGAAGGAGCAGCUUCCAAAUGAUGCUAUGAAGGUAGCUGUAGCGAGUGAAAUUCCCAGCUGUGUUUUCUUCACUAGAGUAAAAGAAAAAUCCCCUCCAGGCAAGGUUCUUUAUGCACAGAAGAAUUAUUAAUGAGCUACCACAGCUCUUUUUUCCUUCUGUCUUAAUUGCUGUGGCUCACUGUAUUAAAUACAUUAAAACUUUUUUUAAGAA